rnacentral:rRNA from 1 species
UAAGCCUGCGAAGGUGUACUGUGAGGUAUGCUGGAGGUAUCAGAAGUGCGAAUGCUGACAUAAGUAACGAUAAUGCGGGUGAAAAACCCGCACGCCGGAAGACCAAGGGUUCCUGUCCAACGUUAAUCGGGGCAGGGUGAGUCGACCCCUAAGGCGAGGCUGAAAAGCGUAGUCGAUGGGAAACGGGUUAAUAUUCCCGUACUGGUGGUAACUGCGAUGGGGGAACGGAGAAGGCUAGGUUGUCCGGGCGACGGUCGUCCCGGUUCAAGCAGGUAGGCAGAGUGAUUAGGCAAAUCCGGUCACUUAAUGCUGAGAUGUGAUGACGAACCACCAAGGUGGUGAAGCAAUUGAUGCCCCGCUUCCAGGAAAAGCCUCUAAGCUUCAGGUUACCAACAAUCGUACCCCAAACCGACACAGGUGGUCAGGUAGAGAAUACUCAGGCGCUUGAGAGAACUCGGGUGAAGGAACUAGGCAAAAUGGUGCCGUAACUUCGGGAGAAGGCACGCUGGCGGUAGGUAAAGUCCCUUGCGGACGGCGCCCAAGCCAGUCGAAGAUACCAGCUGGCUGCAACUGUUUAUUAAAAACACAGCACUGUGCAAACACGAAAGUGGACGUAUACGGUGUGACGCCUGCCCGGUGCUGGAAGGUUAAUUGAUGGGGUCAGCCGUAAGGCGAAGCUCCUGAUCGAAGCCCCAGUAAACGGCGGCCGUAACUAUAACGGUCCUAAGGUAGCGAAAUUCCUUGUCGGGUAAGUUCCGACCUGCACGAAUGGCGUAAUGAUGGCCAGGCUGUCUCCACCCGAGACUCAGUGAAAUUGAACUCGCUGUGAAGAUGCAGUGUACCCGCGGCAAGACGGAAAGACCCCGUGAACCUUUACUAUAGCUUGACACUGAACAUUGAGCCUUGAUGUGUAGGAUAGGUGGGAGGCUUUGAAGUGUGGACGCCAGUCUGCAUGGAGCCAACCUUGAAAUACCACCCUUUAACGUUUGAUGUUCUAACCUAGGCCCAUAAACUGGGUCGGGGACCGUGUCUGGUGGGUAGUUUGACUGGGGCGGUCUCCUCCUAAAGAGUAACGGAGGAGCACGAAGGUUGGCUAAGCAUGGUCGGACAUCAUGCGGUUAGUGCAAAGGCAUAAGCCAGCUUGACUGCGAGAGUGACGGCUCGAGCAGGUACGAAAGUAGGUCUUAGUGAUCCGGUGGUUCUGAAUGGAAGGGCCAUCGCUCAACGGAUAAAAGGUACUCCGGGGAUAACAGGCUGAUACCGCCCAAGAGUUCAUAUCGACGGCGGUGUUUGGCACCUCGAUGUCGGCUCAUCACAUCCUGGGGCUGAAGUAGGUCCCAAGGGUAUGGCUGUUCGCCAUUUAAAGUGGUACGCGAGCUGGGUUUAGAACGUCGUGAGACAGUUCGGUCCCUAUCUGCCGUGGGCGUUGGAAGAUUGAGAGGGGUUGCUCCUAGUACGAGAGGACCGGAGUGAACGCACCACUGGUGUUCGGGUUGUCAUGCCAAUGGCAUUGCCCGGUAGCUAAGUGCGGAAGAGAUAACCGCUGAAAGCAUCUAAGCGGGAAACUUGCCUCGAGAUGAGUCUUCCCUGUCACUUUAAGUGACCUAAAGGAACGUUAAGACUAAGACGUUGAUAGGCUGGGUGUGUAAGCGUAGCGAUACGUUGAGCUAACCAGUACUAAUGAACCGUGAGGCUUAACCUG